UACGUAGGGUGCAAGCGUUAAUCGGAAUUACUGGGCGUAAAGCGUGCGCAGGCGGUGAUGUAAGACAGAUGUGAAAUCCCCGGGCUCAACCUGGGAACUGCAUUUGUGACUGCAUCGCUAGAGUACGGCAGAGGGGGAUGGAAUUCCGCGUGUAGCAGUGAAAUGCGUAGAUAUGCGGAGGAACACCGAUGGCGAAGGCAAUCCCCUGGGCCUGUACUGACGCUCAUGCACGAAAGCGU
rnacentral:rRNA from 1 species